rnacentral:lncRNA from 1 species
CAUGGAAUUUACGAAGAGUUAGGACUUCAGCAACAGUUUUUUUAUUUCCGCUUUCACGUUUAAGAUAGUAAUAAAGCACCUGUCAUCCUGAAGACUUGAUAUGUUUUACCUGAGGUCUGGCUCAUAACAUGUUCACAGAAACCCUCAGAACAAAGAAGAGGAAUAAUUCAUUCAUAUCAAACUUCUUAAGGAUUUUGAUAAAUUAUUAGCGGCUGGAAGCACCCGCUUCUUCUGCUUCCUGGUUCUGCUUCUAUCCAGGGCCGCCUCUGCAUCGAUUCAAGAGAAAAGCAUAGCUCAAGUCAAACUCAAGUCAAAAUCAGAGAAUGAUUAAUGUGAUUUAAAGUUAACAAGAGUCAGGAUUUUCACAAUUAGCAAAUUGUAACUACAAAUAUUGUCGGUAUUGUACGUAGUUCUUCACUAGUUCACUAGACAUCUAGCUUCUUCUUUUUUAGUUUUUUUGUCAACUCA